rnacentral:rRNA from 1 species
UACAGGGGGGGCAAGCGUUGUUCGGAAUUACUGGGCGUAAAGGGCUCGUAGGCGGCCAACUAAGUCAGACGUGAAAUCCCCCGGCUUAACCAGGGAACUGCGUCUGAUACUGGAUGGCUUGAGUUUGGGAGAGGGAUGCGGAAUUCCAGGUGUAGCGGUGAAAUGCGUAGAUAUCUGCAGGAACGCCGAUGGUGAAGGCGGUCCGCUGGGCAUGUCCUGACGCUGAGGCACGAAAGCGUGGGGAGCAAACAGG